GGGAAAGUACAACCAAGAGGACGAGGUGACCCUGACGACCUGAGCAGGGUUCAGCAAGAGAGCUGUCGACGCAGGUUCGAAUCCUGUCUUUCCCG
rnacentral:tRNA from 1 species